CACGUAGGGCGCAAGCGUUGUCCGGAAUUAUUGGGCGUAAAGAGCUCGUAGGCGGUCUGUUACGUCUGCUGUGAAAACCCGGGGCUUAACCCUGGGCUUGCAGUGGAUACGGGCAGACUAGAGGCAGGUAGGGGAGAAUGGAAUUCCCGGUGUAGCGGUGAAAUGCGCAGAUAUCGGAAGAACACCAGUGGCGAAGGCGACUUACUGGACACAUAUUGACGCUGAGGUGCGAAAGCGUGGGGAGCAAACAGG
rnacentral:rRNA from 1 species